rnacentral:rRNA from 1 species
GACAGAAGGUGCAAACGCUACUCGGAAUUACUGGGCGUAAAGCGUCUGCAGGUUUCCUGCCACGUCUGGCGUUAAAACGCGGGGCUUAACUCCGCGUCCGUGCCGGAAACGAGCGGGAUAGAGGUACUCAGAGGCAUCUGGAAUGUCGUGUGUAGGGGUAAAAUCCGUAGAUCCACGAUGGAACGCCGAAAGCGAAGGCAGGAUGCUGGGGGUCACCUGACACUCAGAGACGAAAGCGUGGGGAGCAAAGGGG